AUCUUGGCAAUGCUAACAUGUCUUUCACAGUGAGGAUUCGUCCGAGAUUGCGUUUUUGCUAGUUGAAAACUAUCAACUGACCGCUUCAGUUGGUCUUCGGAUCGGCUGGGAAUCUUUGGAACCCUACUUU
rfam:Hortaea werneckii EXF-2000 unitig_54, whole genome shotgun sequence.